UGGGAGGACACGGUGAAGGAGGGUGAGGGCGCGACCCAGGAGAAGGGGCCUGAGACACGGUGACUACAUCCAAAGAAAGAAGAUGUCGCGCAAAUCACCCAAUCCCGACGCGGGGAGGUAGUGACAAUAAAUCCUGAUACAGGGCUCUUUUGAGUCUUGUAAUCGGAAUGAGUACAAUUUAAAUCCCUUAACGAGGACCAAUUGGAGGGCAAGUCUGGUGCCAGCAGCCGCGGUAAUUCCAGGUCCAAUAGCGUAUAUUAAAGUUGUUGUGGUUAAAAAGCUCGUAGUUGACCCUUGGGCCUGGCUGGCCGGUCCCCCUCACCGGGUGCACUGCUCCAGCCGGGCCUUUCCCUCUGUGGAACCACAUGGCCUUCACUCGCUGUGGCGGGUAAACUCGUCUUUUGCUUUGCAGAAAUGAUAGUGGUCUCCGGAGGACUACGCGCGUAUUCUCUUGCAGCGACACAGAGAUAUGAACUGUCGGCUUUCUUCUUUGGGUUUUCUG
rnacentral:rRNA from 1 species